GUAGCUUAAAUUUUCAGCUGUUUGUUUCCAAAGUAGAGCAGAUCUGCAGCUUCUUCAUAGUUGACAUAAAUCAACUUGUGAAGCUAACUUCAUAAUUUCUGUGGUUUGUCCACAACCCCCCAGAAAGUGGAGGCUGGCCAGAAUAACCCAGAGCAGACAGCAGGGUCAACAGCAGGCAGGGUCUGUAAAUUGACUCUGUCUGGCAUGAGCAAACUUAGAUCCCUUGAGCGGGAGUCCCGUGGUAGCCCUGGACCUUCAUUCAGGAGUUCUCUGUGAGUCCAUAUGAUGCUGCUGCUCCAGUGCAGGGUUCGGACAAGGAGGAAACACAAAUUGGAAUUAAAGCUGAGCUUCCCGUUUGGCUUUGUUCUGAUCCACAACCAUUCU